rnacentral:rRNA from 1 species
CCUACGGGGGGCUGCAGUGGGGAAUAUUGGACAAUGGGGGGAACCCUGAUCCAGCCAUGCCGCGUGUGUGAAGAAGGCCCUCGGGUUGUAAAGCACUUUCAGUGAGGAAGAACGCCUGGUGGUUAAUACCCAUCAGGAAAGACAUCACUCACAGAAGAAGCACCGGCUAACUCCGUGCCAGCAGCCGCGGUAAUGCGGAGGGUGCGAGCGUUAAUCGGAAUUACUGGGCGUAAAGCGCGCGUAGGUGGCUUGAUAAGCCGGUUGUGAAAGCCCCGGGCUCAACCUGGGAACGGCAUCCGGAACUGUCAAGCUAGAGUGCAGGAGAGGAAGGUAGAAUUCCCGGUGUAGCGGUGAAAUGCGUAGAGAUCGGGAGGAAUACCAGUGGCGAAGGCGGCCUUCUGGACUGACACUGACACUGAGGUGCGAAAGCGUGGGUAGCAAACAGGAUUAGAUACCCGUGUAGUC